GGCUUUUUGAUAAUAAUUUAAAGUUUGACCUGCCCAAUGAUAAUUUAAAUGGCCGCGGUAAUUUGACCGUGCAAAGGGAGCAUAAUCAUUAGUUUUUUAAUUGAAAGCUGGAAUGAAUGGUUGGACGAGAGAAUAGCUGUCUCUAUUUAAUUUAUAUUAGAAUUUUAUUAUUAAGUUAAAAAGCUUAAAUAAUUUUUAAAGACGAGAAGACCCUAUAGAGUUUUAUAUAAUUUAUUUUAUUUAUAUUUUAGUAUUUUUUUUAUGUAUAGUAUAGAUUGUAUUUGGUUGGGGCGAUUUAAAAAUUUAAUUAACUUUUUAUAUUUAUUUAACAUUGAUAUAUGAUUAAUUGAUCCAUUAUUUAUGAUUAAAAGAUUAAAUUACCUUAGGGAUAACAGCGUUAUUUUAUUUGAGAGUUCUUAUCGAAAAUACCCCCUGCGACCUCGAUGUUGGAUUAAAAUUAACUUUUGGUGUAGGGGCUAAUUAGUUAAGUCUGUUCGACUUUUAAAAUUUUACAUGAUCUGAGU
rnacentral:rRNA from 1 species